rnacentral:rRNA from 1 species
GAAUGAACGCUGGCGGCGUGCUUUACACAUGCAAGUUGAGCGAGGCCGGGUCGCAAGACCCGAGUCGAGCGGCGAACGGGUGAGUAACGCGUGGAUAACCUGCCCAGAAGUGGGGGACAACCCGGGGAAACUCGGGCUAAUACCGCAUAACACCGAAAGGUCAAAGGGGCCCGCAAGGGUCUCGCUACUGGAGGGGUCCGCGUCCGAUUAGCUAGUUGGUAGGGUAAUGGCCUACCAAGGCGACGAUCGGUAGCCGGCCUGAGAGGGUGAUCGGCCACACUGGAACUGAGACACGGUCCAGACUCCUACGGGAGGCAGCAGUGGGGAAUUUUGCGCAAUGGGCUAACGCCUGACGCAGCAACGCCGCGUGGAGGAUGAAGGUCUUUGGAUUGUAAACUCCUGUCAGCAGGGAAAAAGCGACUCGGACUCAUACUCCGGGGAGUUGAUUGUACCUGCAGAGGAAGCCCCGGCUAACUCUGUGCCAGCAGCCGCGGUAAUACAGAGGGGGCAAGCGUUAUUCGGAAUUACUGGGCGUAAAGGGCGCGUAGGCGGUCAUGAACGUGUGUUGUGAAAGCCCCGAGCUUAACUUGGGAAGUGCAACGCAAACGAUGCGACUGGAGUAGAUGAGAGGGUGGCGGAAUUUCCGGUGUAGCGGUGAAAUGCGUAGAGAUCGGAAGGAACGUCGAUGGCGAAGGCAGCCACCUGGCAUCAUACUGACGCUGAAGCGCGAAAGCGUGGGUAGCGAACAGGAUUAGAUACCCUGGUAGUCCACGCUGUAAACGAUGAGGACUAGGUGUUGGUAGGGGAACCUAUCAGUAUCGAAGCAAACGCGAUAAGUCUUCCGCCUGGGAAGUACGGCCGCAAGGUUGAAACUCAAAUGAAUUGACGGGGGCUCGCACAAGCGGUGGAGCAUGUGGUUUAAUUCGAUGCAACGCGAAGAACCUUACCUACCCUUGACAUCCUGCGAAUUCCGAUGAGAGUUGGAAGUGCCGAAAGGAGCGCAGAGACAGGUGCUGCAUGGCUGUCGUCAGCUCGUGUUGUGAGAUGUUGGGUUAAGUCCCGUAACGAGCGCAACCCUUGUCCUUAGUUGCCAUCAUUAAGUUGGGGACUCUAAGGAGACUGCCGGUGAUGAACCGGAGGAAGGCGGGGACGACGUCAAGUCAUCAUGGCCUUUAUGGGUAGGGCUACACACGUGCUACAAUGGGGCGUACAGAGGGAAGCCAACUUGCGAAAGGGAGCCAAUCUCAGAAAGCGCCUCGUAGUCCGGAUUGGAGUCUGCAACUCGACUCCAUGAAGUUGGAAUCGCUAGUAAUCGCGAAUCAGCAACGUCGCGGUGAUACAUCUCGGGCGUGACACACCGC